GGCCCUAUAGUUCAAGGGAUAGAAUGGAAGUUUCCUAAACUUUAGAUGCAGGUUCGAGUCCUGCUAGGGCUA
rnacentral:tRNA from 1 species